ACAAGGAAUACAAAUCUUACAAAGAUGACAGCAAAAAUGUAUUUGUCUUUUACACGGCUUAUGGUGGAUGAGGACAAAAACUUUGGAAUAGCAAGCUAACACUGAAAAAAAAAAUGACAAAUUAAUGUGUCCUAUUAUCCAGGCUACAUCAGGAGGUUGGACUUCAAUGCAGUGCAUUUCUAGAAACAGUUUGU